rnacentral:antisense_RNA from 1 species
CUUCAGCGACCCGAGCAGCAGCGGUUGGCCUUCGGGCCGUUCCUUGCCGUAGGUCGCGAGCAGGGCGCGGGCUUC